rfam:Picea glauca, whole genome shotgun sequence.
AAAAAGGGUCAGUUGGCUAAAUAUGCCACGUCCGCCUUCGCGGCGGGUGCUGUAUGGACUAUCAAGACAUAUGGCUGACAAAAUUUGUGGAAACUCAUAGGUUUGGCCCGCUCGGCCGACUCUACCA